rnacentral:rRNA from 1 species
UACAGAGACUGCAAGCGUUAUUCGGAUUCACUGGGCGUAAAGGGUGCGCAGGCGACCAAGUGUGUGAGACGUGAAAGCCCGGGGCUUAACCCCGGAAUUGCACCUCAAACUACAUGGCUAGAGCAUUGGAGAGGGUAGCAGAAUUCAUGGUGUAGCAGUGAAAUGCGUAGAGAUGUGGAGGAACACCGAUGGCGAAGGCAGCCUUCUGGGCCAACACUGACGCUCAUGCACGAAAGCGUGGGGAGCAAACAGG